rnacentral:misc_RNA from 1 species
GAUGAAGAACGUAGCGAAAUGCGAUAAGUAGUGUGAAUUGCAGAAUUCAGUGAAUCAUCGAGUCUUUGAACGCACAUUGCGCCCUCUGGUAUUCCGGAGGGCAUGCCUGUCCGAGCGUCAUUGCUGCCCUCAAGCACGGCUUGUGUGUUGGGCUCCGUCCCCCGAUCCCGGGGGACGGGCCCGAAAGGCAGCGGCGGCACCGCGUCCGGUCCUCGAGCGUAUGGGGCUUUGUCACCCGCUCUGUAGGCCCGGCCGGCGCUUGCCGAUCAACCAAAUUUUUAUCCAGGUUGACCUCGGAUCAGGUAGGGAUACCCGCUGAACUUAAGCAUAUCAAUAAGCGGAGGA